CCUACGGGCGGCAGCAGUGAGGAAUAUUGGUCAAUGGCCGGAAGGCUGAACCAGCCAAGCCGCGUGAAGGACGAAGGUGCCAAGCAUUGUAAACUUCUUUUGUCAAGGGACAAAAUCAGGCUCGAGAGCCUGACCGAGGGUACUUGAAGAAAAAGCAUCGGCUAACUCCGUGCCAGCAGCCGCGGUAAUACGGAGGAUGCGAGCGUUAUCCGGAUUUAUUGGGUUUAAAGGGUGCGUAGGCGGACUGUUAAGUCAGCGGGUAAAGGCCCGGGCUCAACCCCGGCGAGGCCGUGGAAACUGGCUGUCUUGAGAUGGCGAGAGGCAGGCGGAAUGCGUAGUGUAGCGGUGAAAUGCUUAGAUAUUGCGCAGAACUCCGAGUGCGAAGGCAGCAUACCGGCGGGGAUCUGACGCUGAGGCACGAAAGCGUGGGUAUCGAACAGGAUUAGAUACCCCUGUAGUC
rnacentral:rRNA from 1 species